UUAAGUUUUUCUUUAUCGAAAUUAAUUUAGAGCUUGAUUAUUUAGUGCUUGAUUAUUCAAAAUGGAGAUUAGGUUAUGAUACUGUGCUCCAUAAGCAUACUAUGUAUGGAGUUAUCAUACUUGAGAUGAUUGUCCAAACCCUACUGCCGCUCUCCCUUUCCUGCUGCCAGUCCCAAAUAUUCGCCCACUGCACUGCUCUACAAAACUCACUCCUCACUCCCUAAAAAAAAGGAUAGUAAUUGACCUAAAUAGUACUUUGUAUCGAAACAUAAAAUAAUUGAAGGCCAAACGACUGCUAUUUUAUUUGCCACAAAAUAUCAUCUCUUUUCCACGUCACAUACCCUGACAUGUACUCCACCUCGACAUUUUGGUGCAUUAUUGCUCAGCACCCAUAUGAUCUCUGUUAUUGUUUGGCUUCACCAAUUGCACGCAUGAAUAGGCCUCCAACUGGUGGCAUAUUUAUGCUUCACUGGUAGGUACAUGCGAACCCCAAUAUUUCUACUGCUUGCGAUGAUUUUCCAACUAUACUACUGCACUCCUUUUGCUGGCCGCCACUCCCAAUUCACCUACUCCUCACGCCCUAUAAAAGGGUAAUAAAUCUAUAUAACUCCCCAAUCGAGUAUUAUGAUAUGAACCUUGAACUCUAUAAUACCAUUCAAAUGGCCCUCUCGGGUGGUUUUCAAUGGCUCUUUUGCCACCAUGGCAUACCCAUGGCUCCCCC
rnacentral:lncRNA from 1 species